AGCUGAAUCCCACCGGUGGAAUUUGAGAAGAAGGUUGAAAUAGGUGUUGUUCAGGAAAACCAUGAUUGCGCAAUCAUGUUACAAAAUGGCCGCCAUUGCUGCCAUGUCAAAGUUUUUACGAGGCC